GCCGUGAUAGCUCAGCUGGGAGAGCAGUAGACUGAAGCAUCCCAUCCGGGUUGGUAUUCUAAAGGUCGCCUGUUCGAGCCAGGCUCAUGGCA